rnacentral:lncRNA from 7 species
CCCAGACCUGCAAUCCCAGGUAGGUCUGAGCCCCCAUUCAGUGUUCCCCCUUCUCACCCAUGGCUGACAGUGUCACUGCAUCCCUCAUCCACUGUGGUGAGGGCUAUGUAUGGGGACACCUAAUGCACUUUGACCCCACAGGUGUCAAUGGGGGUGCCAGCAGGAACCUGGUGGCAGCAGUGGCGGGGGGCUGUGCUUCUGCCAUUGUCUUCAUCAUUGUCCUCACUGUCUUUUUCCUCCUUGUUGCUCAGAGAAGACGAAUGCAGACAGAUGAGAGUCCUGGUGCCGCCUCCAGAAGCCCCGAGGCCGUGCAGUUCCAGGUGUCCCCUGGUGACAGCGAGGGUCUGACCUACGCCCAGCUGCAAGCUGUGACCCCCAGCACCCACCUCCCGCGCACUUCUACCACUCCUGAACCCGUCAUUAUCUACGCCGAGGUGGGCACGUGGGGACCCCGCUGAUGCCCCCAGAUGUGUACGCAAACACGGGUGUGUUGUGUGCACACAUGGACUUCAAGGGUGCACAGUGCCAGUGUGCUCGGUGUGCUCACCACCACGUGUGAAUUACAGCCAUGUACCUGUGCGUGUGAACACGUGGAUGUGUAUUAAACGGGUGUGCACCAUCCCAUGUGCACAACAGGUGUACAAACACACGUGUGGGACACGCUGAACUCUGUGCCUCUGUGUGUGUCUGUGCGAUGCCGUAUGUGUGCACCACCAGCUGUACACACUGCUGCUCAUGUGUGUCCUUAGCAUGUGCUCACGGGGUCUGCACUACACGUGUGCCUCCACAGCACAUGCAUGUCAUCAUCACGUGCCCUGUGCCUGC